AACUUUGUCCAAUUAUCCACCGCAAUAGACAGUACGGCAAUCGGGACCCAGUGCUCGGAUUAUAGGGCGUUGUUCUAACGUCCUUCGAGCGCUUUUUUAUACCUGAUUUUCGCCGUGAUAAGUGUGUGGAAAGACGAAAAUUUGUAUCCAUUAAGAACUCGAAUGGAUUUAACACAUGAGCUUCGAGUGUCAGAGGAUGCAGACAGUG
rnacentral:snoRNA from 1 species